CUCCGCCCCCCAGGCCCCGGCGCCCCGCCCCCGGCCUCGCCGGUCCUCACCCUCCGCCCGCCGUCCCGCGAGGAGUUCCAAGGCCCCUACCGCAACUCCACCCUCCUCUGCCAAAUCCGCGGCUCCCGGCGCAGCCUCGGCUCCGCCCCCAUCCAAUGGCUGCGCAACGGCGCCCCGGUGCGCGAGGGCGUGGCCGAGGAGGGGCCGGUCCCGGAAGGUCCCGGCGUCUUCGUGGCCGGCAGCCGGGUGGUGGUGACGGAGGCCGAGUGGGAGAGCGGCGUCGUCUUCACGUGCCAGGCCGGCGAGGAGAUGAGGAACACCAGCAAGACCAUGGAGUGCGGCUUCCCGGACGCCUCCCCGCCCUCCAUCUACCUGCUGGCCCCGCCCACCGAGCAGCUCCGCCUCCACACCUGGGCCACCCUCACCUGCCUGGUGCGCGACUUCAACCCGCCCGACCUCCUCGUCCAAUGGCUGCAGGACGGCCGGCCCCUCCCGCCGGGCCGCGCCCUCACCUUCCGGCCGCGCCCCGACAACGGCCACGCCCCUUCCGGCCGCGCCCACCUGGCCGUCAGCACCUUGACGGUGCCGGCGCGGGACUGGGAGGGCGGCGGCGUCUUCACCUGCCUGGUGGGGCACGAGCGGCUGCCGCUGCGGCUGGCCCAGAGGUCGCUGGACAAGGCUGCCGGUAAACCCGCCAACGUCAACGUUUCCCUCGUUUUUAGUGAUGCCCUGAGUGGUUGUUACUGAAA